rnacentral:rRNA from 1 species
GGGACUCAACGGAUUGCUGGGUGAUGCCUGCCCAUUGACUUUCAUUUGAAAGGCCGCGGAAUCUACUACUGCAAUGGCCGUAAAGAAAUCUCUUGUUCUUAAAAUGGAGACCUGUAAAAAAGGCUAAACGAGAAUCCCUCUGUCUCUCGCAGGCCUCCCAUGAUUUUGAUCUCCCUGUGCCUAUGCAAGGAUACAUACAUUACACGACAAGACCCUGGUAAAGUCUAAACCCCCACGCCACAACUAAUGUGGUUUAAACCAUCAUAAGCCGACUAGAACUAAACCCCUUGACCUUGUGUUUUCGGUUGGGGCGACCCCAAAAUAAAAAGAACUUUCCCGGAAAUCAAUAACAUGACUACUACUAUCUGACACCUACACCCCAAACUGCUACUUGAGAUCCGAUCCGGCAAAGCCGAUCUAUGAACCAUGCUACUCCUGGGAUAACAGCGCAAUCCCCCUCCAGAGCCCUUAUCGACUUGGGGGUUUACGACCUCGAUGUUGGAUCAGGACAUCCUAAUGGUGUAACCGCUUUUAAAGGUUCGUUUGUACAACGAUUAAAG